rnacentral:rRNA from 1 species
GAUGAACGCUGGCGGCGUGCCUAAUACAUGCAAGUCGAGCGAACGGACGAGAAGCUUGCUUCUCUGAUGUUAGCGGCGGACGGGUGAGUAACACGUGGAUAACCUACCUAUAAGACUGGGAUAACUUCGGGAAACCGUAGCUAAUACCGGAUAAUAUUUUGAACCGCAUGGUUCAAAAGUGAAAGACGGUCUUGCUGUCACUUAUAGAUGGAUCCGCGCUGCAUUAGCUAGUUGGUAAGGUAACGGCUUACCAAGGCAACGAUGCAUAGCCGACCUGGGAGGGUGAUCGGCCACACUGGAACUUAGCCACGGUCCAUGCUCCUACGGGAGGCAGCAGUAGGGAAUCUUCCGCAAUGGGCGAAAGCCUGACGGAGCAACGCCGCGUGAGUGAUGAAGGUCUUCGGAUCGUAAAACUCUGUUAUUAGGGAAGAACAUAUGUGUAAGUAACUGUGCACAUCUUGACGGUACCUAAUCAGAAAGCCACGGCUAACUACGUG